rnacentral:misc_RNA from 1 species
AACGCACAUUGCGCUCCGCAGACCUCUGCGGAGCAUGCCUGGUUGAGUGUCUGUUUGACCUCUCUCCACCGUUCAUGUGGAGGAUGGAUGCGUGGAUUCACUUGCCUCUCAGUGAGUGACCUCGCCAAAUGCAGCAGCUAAUCUUGGCUGGACACGAAAAAGAAAACUUCCUCUUUCUGUCCAACUUUUAAAGCCCCAAGUGUCGUAGCAUGAAUGUGCCGAGCACUAAGGGAUAGGACUGGAAAAACACGAGGAAAAGUGUCACACCCACUCGAACACCCUAGACCUCAGCUCAGGUAGGACUACCCGCUGAACUUAA